rnacentral:lncRNA from 1 species
AUGGUUUCUUCAGAGAUUUCUGUGAAUUGCUUUGUCUUGCUGGUGCUCCAGUGCUGGUUCCUUUUGACACGACCCAGCUGGUGUGGGAUACAGCAGUUUCAGAUAAAGAAUGGCUCAUUCUCGUUCAGCACGGGACUUUGUUGCACUUUCAGAUCUGCAUCCAAACCUUGCUCGUCCUGUAAGUCUCACAGC